AAUAGAUACCCUGGUAGUCCACGCCGUAAACGAUGUCGACUUGGAGGUUGUGCCCUUGAGGCGUGGCUUCCGGAGCUAACGCGUUAAGUCGACCGCCUGGGGAGUACGGCCGCAAGGUUAAAACUCAAAUGAAUUGACGGGGGCCCGCACAAGCGGUGGAGCAUGUGGUUUAAUUCGAUGCAACGCGAAGAACCUUACCUACUCUUGACAUCCAGAGAACUUAGCAGAGAUGCUUUGGUGCCUUCGGGAACUCUGAGACAGGUGCUGCAUGGCUGUCGUCAGCUCGUGUUGUGAAUGUUGGGUUAAGUCCCGCAACGAGCGCAACCCUUAUCCUUUGUUGCCAGCGAUUCGGUCGGGAACUCAAAGGAGACUGCCAGUGAUAAACUGGAGGAAGGUGGGGAUGACGUCAAGUCAUCAUGGCCCUUACGAGUAGGGCUACACACGUGCUACAAUGGCGCAUACAAAGAGAAGCGACCUCGCGAGAGCAAGCGGACCUCAUAAAGUGCGUCGUAGUCCGGAUUGG
rnacentral:rRNA from 1 species